GAGCCAAAAGCUAAUACAACUUGGGGAAGAAGGUUAUUAGGAAAAAGAAUAUUAAAAAAAAUCUUACUUUGUAAAUGUUAUAAAAAUAUGUCAUGUGACCAUAUUGCUAAAACCUGAUGGUAGCCAGCUUCUAAUUGUGAAGAUUUUUCCCAAUAAUCCUAUCUCCUAGUUUUUAUGUCCUUGGAUAGUUCCUCCUUCAUGUUGUAUUGGAGUUGGUCUAUGAGGCCACUCUGGAGUAACCCAGCUACCAUAUUGUAGGAAUCUUCGACAAUCCUGUAGAAAAGUCUUGAUGGUAAGAAACUGAGACUUUAGCCUACAGUCAUGUGAGGGAACCAUUUUGGAAGUGGAUCUUCCAGGCCUGGUCAAAACUUAAGAUAAUGGCACUCCUGGCUGACAGUUUGAUUACAAUCUCAUGAGAUUUCCAUGUCAGAACCUCUCUAAUGUGCCACUCCUAGAUUCUUUACUCUCAGAAAAAGUAUGAGAUAAUAAAUCUAUUAUUUUAAGCUGGUAUGUUUAACUUAUUAUAUAGAAAUUGAUAAUAAAAAAUUUUAAUUGCUUUUAUUUUUUAAAUACAUGACAUCAAAUGCAUCACAAUUCUUAUUACACAUAUAGAACACAAUUUUUCAUAUCUCUGUAUAUAAAGUAUGUUCACACCAAUUCAUGUCUUCAUACAUAUAGUUUGUAUAAUGAUGUCCAUCAUAUUCCUCCAUCAUUGCUAACCCCCUGCCCACUCCCUUCCCCUCACACUCCUCUGCCCUAUCUAGAGUUCGUCAAUUCCUCCCAUGCUCCCUCCUUCCUACCCAACUAUGAGUCAGUCACCUUAUAUCAGACAAAACAUUUGCCAUUUGUUUUUUUGGGACUGGAUAAAUUCACUUAGCAUUAUCUUCUCCAACUGCAUCCAUUUACCUGCAAAUGCCAUGAUUUUAUUCUCUUUUAUUGCUGAGUAAUGUUCCAUUGUAUAUAUAUGCCACAUUUUUUUUAAUCCAUUCAUCUACUGAAGGACAUCUAGGUUGGUUCCACAGUUUAGCUAUUGUGAAUUGUGCUGCUAUAAACAUUGAUGUGACUGUGUCCCUAUAGUAUACUAUUUUUAAGUCCUUUGGGUAUAGACCGAGGAGAGGGGUAGCAGGGUCAAAUGGUGAUUCCGUUCCAAGUUUUCCAAGGAAUCUCCAUACUGCUUUCCAUAUUGGCUGCACCAUUUUACAGUCCCACUAGUAAUGUAUGAGUGUGCCUUUUUUCCCACACCCUCACCAACACUUAUUGUUGUUUGUCUUCAUAAUAGCUGCCAUUCUGACUGGAGUGAGAUGGUAUCUUAGAGUAGUUUUGAUUUGCAUUUCUCUAAUUGCUAGAGAUGAUGGACAUUUUUUUUUCAUAUAUUUGUUGAUUAAAAAAAGAAAUUGAGGGCUGGGGAUGUGGCUCAAGCGGUAGCGCGCUUGCCUGGCAUGCGUGCGGCCCGGGUUCGAUCCUCAGCAUCACAUACAAACAAAGAUGUUGUGUCCGCCAAAUACUAAAAAAUAAAUAUUAAAAUUCUCUCUCUCUCCCUCUCUCUCUCUCUCACACUCUCUCUUAAAAAAAAUGGAAAAUAAUAUUCAAACCUUUAAAAAAAAAAAGAAAUUGAUAAUUAAUACAGACUUCUCUUAGCGCCUUAGAAGGAUUCAUGCAAGUAAGAGACCCUAACUUUCAAAUUUCAGAAGCAUUAUGAUUAAUUGAUCUCUGCCUUAUGUUAAUGAACAAACCUAAAAAGAUCCUGUAGCAGAGAAAACUAAUUUUCCAUCAAAAUUUAUCAUUUCUUCCACUGCAGUUUUAAGUUGAUUAUGCCUGUUGUGUUAGUUUUCUGUUACUGUAACAAAUACCUGAAGUAAUCAAUUUAUAAAGAGAAAAGAUUUAUUUUUUAAGGCUAACAGUUUUGACAGUUUUAGUCCAUGAUUAAUUGGCUUCAUUGCUUUGGAUGAGUGAUAAGGCAGAACAUCAGGGUUGAAGCAUGUGAGAAUAAAACAACUAACCUAAGAGCUUGGAAGCCAAAGAGAGGAAGAGAGUGGGGUCCCACAAUUCCUUGCUAGGGCAUGCAGCCAAUGACCUGAAGACCUCCUAUGAGGCCCCGCCUCUUAAAGUUUCCACCAUCUCCCAAGAGCACCAUCAAGGUGGGGACCAAGCCUUUAAUGUGCACAUUCCAGACCCAAACUAUAGCACCUGUCAAACCACAAGCCACAUUGCCCAGCUUCCUUUGCAGCUAGCUAAGUGAGUCCUGUGACAAAGCUCUUGUUUAUGGAAUGUGAACAAAAGUAAUUAUGUACCCUCUGGACUGUGCUUUCAAGAGACUGGGCAUUGUACUACUUUUAUCCUUCUCGUGGCCAGGCUGGUGACAAGCAAAAUGACCUUGGAAGUCACACUGAAUAUGGCAGAACCUCCAUUUAACUGAGUCUCUGAAUGACUUCAUGGAGCACAGCUUCUCUCUUUCCAGUCCAGAACACUACCCUGAACCAUUUUUUUUUUUUAGAGAAAAAUAAGCUUCUAUUGUGUUUGCAUGUUUAUCUUUUAAGGUCUGUGUAUUAAGAUGGGUUAACCUACCUUAAGUAAUUGUUGCUAUAUUCUCUAAACUUUAAAUACUUUUCUUCCCAGAGUCUAGUCUUGAUUUUACUGUAUUUGUUUCAUCAUUCAUUUGUUAAUUUAUUAACGUUUUAAUCUGUAAAUUUUUAAAUACACAAAAAUAAAGGUAAUUAUAUAAUGAAGCCUCAUACCCAUAAUUCAGCCUCACUGUUUAUAAGGCCAUUCCUAUGCCCUGUGUAUUUAUGCCAUUUUCUACAUAUAUGUGGUCAUUCCUGUUUAUUGAUAGCCAUUUCUCUUUAUUCUCCCUUCUGGAUCACUUUAAAGCAAAUGUCAGAAUUUUUAACAUCAUAUGAUUUUGUUGAAGAAGAUUUAAAAAUCAUAAGAAACCUCCUCCACCUUCCCUGGAAUUCAGUGCUCUUUGUAAGGCCAAUUUCCUUUUGCUCUGAUUAGCUUAGCUUCUCUCUGCUCACCAAUAGCCAGAUUUGACUCAGACAAUUGUAGAUAAUCUAGGAUAUGCAGAGGAAGUAGACACCUCAUUUUUAGACUUUAAUGACUUUCCUCAAGCGUAAAAUGCCCCUUUCUGGAUUACUGAGCUCAGUUCCAAGUAGCAUCAUGAUAUUGGGGAAGGUUGGAAAUGACAGGAAAUGAGGCUGAACGAGUUGUUUUCUCCUUGCACUUUAGGUUCCUAAGCUUGCUCUGCCUGUAGAACAGCUCUGAACUCUCAUGCUGACUUCCUUAUUCUUCACUCUAAUCUUUGACCUUGCUUUUACUUUUUACCUCUGUUUUCUUUCUUUGUUUACAAUAUUUCAGUAACAUCAUCAUAGAACUAUUUUUGAAGAGGAAAUGUACAAUAAUUAAUGUGAAAAAUAAACAACAUGUUUUUCUUCUCUUCUUUUAAAAAAUAUUUUAUUAGUUGCUGUUGGACCUUUAUUUAUUUUCAUGUGGUGCUGAGAAUCGAACCUAGCGCCUCACACAUGCUAGGCAAGCAAGCGCUCAACCACUGAGUCACAAUCCCAGCCCUGUUUUUCUUCUCUUUUGAUUCGGUUUGAAAUGUUUCUCCUUUUUGGUUUCUGGGAUUUAAAAAAAUUACAUUAUAAGCACCUGUCAUAUUAGAGCUUUUUUCUUUUUUAAAAUUUAUUAUUUUAGAAUAGUUUUAGAUUUACCAAAAAGUUGCAAAGAUAGUACCAAAAGUUUGUAUAUGCCCCUCAACCAAUUUCUGCUAUUGUUAACAUCAAUAUGAUCAGGUACAUUGGUUACAACUUAGAAUUAAACAUUGGUACAUCCUAUUAACUAGCUCCAGAAUUCAUUUGGAGUUUGCUAGUUUUUCUACUAAUGACCUUCUACUGUUUUGGACUCCACCAGGAGACCACAUUACAUUUAGAGGUCAUGUCUUUUUAG
rnacentral:lncRNA from 1 species